ACUCUCCUGAAUCUGUAACUCAAUCAAGGAAGAUGACCUUCCUGAAUAGAGGAGGACCAGACUUUAGCCAAGGGAAUAUAAUUAGCAGACUCCCUUCUGAGAACCUCCAAACAAGAUCUCAAGAAUAUGUGUGAAAUGUGUUUAAAAACUACAGUAGGUAUUUAUCC
rnacentral:sRNA from 1 species